rnacentral:rRNA from 1 species
AUGAAAGCUAGCGCGCCCUUCUCUGCCCAUUCCGGGUACACAUACUUCAAGCUGUGCUCAUGGUUCGCGGACGUGCUCCCCUGCCUCGCCCGCCUCCUCCUCCGCCUCCCCACGCUGCUCGAGGACCACUACGCCGGUGUCCGGGCCGCGCUCGGGCUCCGCCUCCUCGGCUCCCAGGGCGCGGGCAUUGUGCUCUUCGGCCAGGAAGCUGACCCCCCGUGCUCUUCUGCCUGUUCCCCACCGCGACGUGGCGAAGCCCGCUUCCCGGCCAUCAAUUUUGACACCUUGUUCGUGGCACUGACCAACAAUGUGAGGUGCCGGUUUUUGUGUCGUCUGACAGUGAUGCUUGGAUGA